rnacentral:rRNA from 12 species
GCUUACUGAUCCUAACCAAACUCCGAAUACCGGGGAGUACUAGAUGGCAGACACACGGCGAAUGCUAACGUCCGUCGUGAAGAGGGAAACAACCCUGACCUACAGCUAAGGCCCCUAAUUCAUGGCUAAGUGGGAAAGCAGGUGGGACGACCAAAACAACCAGGAAGUUGGCUUAGAAGCAGCCAUCUUUUAAAGAUAGCGUAACAGCUCAC